rnacentral:rRNA from 1 species
CCUACGGGAGGCAGCAGUGGGGAAUAUUGGACAAUGGGCGAAAGCCUGAUCCAGCAAUGCCGCGUGUGUGAAGAAGGCCUUCGGGUUGUAAAGCACUUUAAGUUGGGAAGAAAAAGCUCUGGCUAAUAUCUAGAGCCUUGACGGUACCAACAGAAUAAGCACCGGCUAACUCUGUGCCAGCAGCCGCGGUAAGUACAGAGGGUGCUAGCGUUAAUCGGAUUUACUGGGCGUAAAGCGUGCGUAGGCGGUUUGAUAAGUUCGAUUGUGAAAGCCCCGGGCUUAACCUGGGAAUUGCAGUUGAUACUGUCAGACUAGAAAACGGUAGAGGGAGGCGGAACUCCAGGUGUAGCGGUGAAAUGCGUAGAUAUCUGGAAGAACACCGAUGGCGAAGGCAACCUCCUGGGCCUGUUUUGACGCUGAGGCACGAAAGCGUGGGUAGCAAACAGGAUUAGAUACCCUGGUAGUCCACGCCGUAAACGAUCGAGAACUUGACGUUGGUUUGCUUAGCAAAUCGGUGUCGUAGCUACGCGAUAAGUUCUCCGCCUGGGGAGUACGGCCGCAAGGUUGAAACUUAAGGAAUUGAGG